CGCAAGCCUGAGUGCAGCCAUGCCGCGUGUAUGAAGAAGGACCUUCGGGUUGUAAAGUACGUUUCAGCAGUGAGGAAGGUGGGUAUGUUAAUAGCAUAUCAUUUGACGUUAGCUGCAGAAGAAGCACCGGCUAACUCCGUGCCAGCAGCCGCGGUAAUACGGAGGGUGCGAGCGUUAAUCGGAAUUACUGGGCGUAAAGCGCAUGCAGGUGGUUUGUUAAGUCAGAUGUGAAAGCCCCGGGGCUCAACCUCGGAAUUGCAUUUGAAACUGGCAAACUAGAGUACUGUAGAGGGGGGUAGAAUUUCAGGUGUAGCGGUGAAAUGCGUAGAGAUCUGAAGGAAUACCGGUGGCGAAGGCGGCCCCCUCGGACAGAUACUGACACUCAGAUGCGAAAGCGUGGGGAGCAAACAGGAUUAGAUACCCUGGUAG
rnacentral:rRNA from 1 species